AUUGCACCUCCACCUUUUACAGGAAUUACUGUUUGCACAGAACCUUUACCAAAAGAUUUUUUACCAACAAUAAUUGCUUUCUUAUGAUCUUGAAGAGCUCCAGCAAUAAUUUCUGAAGCAGAAGCCGAAUUUUCAUUUAUCAGUACAACUGUAGGAAAACUUUCAAAAAUUCCACCUUUACUAGCGUUAUAAUAUUUUUCCUUUGCUUUAUCACGACCACGAACUGAAACAAUCUUUCCUUCGCUUAAAAAAUAAUCACAUAUGGUUAUUGCCUGACUUAAAAGUCCGCCGGGAUUAUUGCGCAA
rnacentral:ncRNA from 1 species